UACGUAGGGGGCAAGCGUUAUCCGGAUUUACUGGGUGUAAAGGGAGCGUAGACGGUUAUGCAAGUCAGAAGUGAAAGCCCAAAGCUCAACUCCGGGACUGCUUUUGAAACUGUGUAACUAGAGUGCAGGAGGGGUAAGCGGAAUUCCUAGUGUAGCGGUGAAAUGCGUAGAUAUUAGGAGGAACACCGGCGGCGAAGGCGGCUUACUGGACUGUAACUGACGUUGAGGCUCGAAAGCGUGGGGAGCAAACAGG
rnacentral:rRNA from 1 species